rnacentral:rRNA from 1 species
CUUUGGGGAGCUGUAAGUAAGCUUUGAUCCAGAGAUUUCCGAAUGGGGAAACCCAGCAUGAGUUAUGUCAUGUUAUCGAUAUGUGAAUACAUAGCAUAUCAGAAGGCACACCCGGAGAACUGAAACAUCUUAGUACCCGGAGGAAGAGAAAGAAAAUUCGAUUCCCUUAGUAGCGGCGAGCGAAACGGGAAGAGCCCAAACCAACAAGCUUGCUUGUUGGGGUUGUAGGACACUCUAUACGGAGUUACAAAGGACGACAUUAGACGAAUCAUCUGGAAAGAUGAAUCAAAGAAGGUAAUAAUCCUGUAGUCGAAAAUGUUGUCUCUCUUGAGUGGAUCCUGAGUACGACGGAGCACGUGAAAUUCCGUCGGAAUCUGGGAGGACCAUCUCCUAAGGCUAAAUACUCUCUAGUGACCGAUAGUGAACCAGUACCGUGAGGGAAAGGUGAAAAGCACCCCGGAAGGGGAGUGAAAUAGAACCUGAAACCGUGUGCUUACAAGUAGUCAGAGCCCGUUAAUGGGUGAUGGCGUGCCUUUUGUAGAAUGAACCGGCGAGUUACGAUUUGAUGCAAGGUUAAGCAGUAAAUGUGGAGCCGUAGCGAAAGCGAGUCUGAAUAGGGCGUUUAGUAUUUGGUCGUAGACCCGAAACCAGGUGAUCUACCCUUGGUCAGGUUGAAGUUCAGGUAACACUGAAUGGAGGACCGAACCGACUUACGUUGAAAAGUGAGCGGAUGAACUGAGGGUAGCGGAGAAAUUCCAAUCGAACCUGGAGAUAGCUGGUUCUCUCCGAAAUAGCUUUAGGGCUAGCCUCAAGUGAUGAUUAUUGGAGGUAGAGCACUGUUUGGACGAGGGGCCCCUCUCGGGUUACCGAAUUCAGACAAACUCCGAAUGCCAAUUAAUUUAACUUGGGAGUCAGAACAUGGGUGAUAAGGUCCGUGUUCGAAAGGGAAACAGCCCAGACCACCAGCUAAGGUCCCAAAAUAUAUGUUAAGUGGAAAAGGAUGUGGCGUUGCCCAGACAACUAGGAUGUUGGCUUAGAAGCAGCCAUCAUUUAAAGAGUGCGUAAUAGCUCACUAGUCGAGUGACACUGCGCCGAAAAUGUACCGGGGCUAAACAUAUUACCGAAGCUGUGGAUUGUCCUUUGGACAAUGGUAGGAGAGCGUUCUAAGGGCGUUGAAGCAUGAUCGUAAGGACAUGUGGAGCGCUUAGAAGUGAGAAUGCCGGUGUGAGUAGCGAAAGACGGGUGAGAAUCCCGUCCACCGAUUGACUAAGGUUUCCAGAGGAAGGCUCGUCCGCUCUGGGUUAGUCGGGUCCUAAGCUGA